AACGAACGCUGGCGGCGUGCCUAACACAUGCAAGUCGAGCGGGAAAAUUCCCUUCGGGGAAUGAGUACAGCGGCGCACGGGUGAGUAACACGUAGGUAACCUACCCUGGAGACUGGGAUAACCUGCCGAAAGGCGGGCUGAUACUAGAUAAGCCCACGAGAGCUGCGGCUCUUGAGGGAAAAGGUGGCCUCUACUUGUAAGCUACUACUCCGGGAUGGGCCUGCGCGCCAUUAGCUAGUUGGUGAGGUAACGGCUCACCAAGGCCGAGAUGGCUAGCUGGUCUGAGAGGAUGGCCAGCCACACUGGGACUGAGACACGGCCCAGACUCCUACGGGAGGCAGCAGUGGGGAAUCUUGCGCAAUGGGCGAAAGCCUGACGCAGCGACGCCGCGUGGGUGAUGAAGGCCUUCGGGUCGUAAAGCCCUGUCAAGAGGGACGAAACCUCGUCGACCUAAUACGUCGACGACCUGACGGUACCUCUGGAGGAAGCACCGGCUAACUCCGUGCCAGCAGCCGCGGUAAUACGGAGGGUGCGAGCGUUGUUCGGAAUUACUGGGCGUAAAGCGCGUGUAGGCGGCCUUCUAAGUCUGGUGUGAAAGCCCGGGGCUCACCCCCCGGAAGUGCAUUGGAUACUGGAAGGCUGGAGUACCGGAGAGGAGGGUGGAAUUCC
rnacentral:rRNA from 1 species